rnacentral:rRNA from 1 species
AUUGAACGCUGGCGGCAUGCUUUACACAUGCAAGUCGAACGGCAGCGCGGGCUUCGGCCUGGCGGCGAGUGGCGAACGGGUGAGUAAUGCAUCGGAACGUGCCCAGUAGUGGGGGAUAGCCCGGCGAAAGCCGGAUUAAUACCGCAUACGACCUGAGGGUGAAAGCGGGGGACCGAAAGGCCUCGCGCUAUUGGAGCGUCCGAUGUCGGAUUAGCUAGUUGGUUGGGUAAAGGCUUACCAAGGCGACGAUCCGUAGCUGGUCUGAGAGGACGACCAGCCACACUGGGACUGAGACACGGCCCAGACUCCUACGGGAGGCAGCAGUGGGGAAUUUUGGACAAUGGGGGCAACCCUGAUCCAGCCAUGCCGCGUGCGGGAAGAAGGCCUUCGGGUUGUAAACCGCUUUUGUUCGGGAAGAAAUCCUCUGGGAUAAUACCCCGGGGGGAUGACGGUACCGGAAGAAUAAGCACCGGCUAACUACGUG